GUGUGUGUACACAAAACAUGGGUCAUGCAGGAGGCCAGGGAGUGGUGCAGUGUUUGUAUGGGGCUUCGAGGUGCUGGGGGAAAUGCUGAGAGGGAUUUGGGAGCUGCUGCGGUGCUGGAGGUCAUCUCAUAGGAAAUGACUACCAUGAAUUGGUGUUCCUUGGGAUGAAGAGGUCGUGCUGUGAUGCCCAAGCAGUGUGAACACCAGCAGCCUUGCUGCAGAAUUUCUCUUUGGUGAUAGCAGUAGUUUUGAUGGGGAAGUGAUGCGUGGGGACAUUGAGAGCAUGGUCGUCACUGCUGCUGGUGUGGUGUUUUGGCCUUGGAGAAAAUGGUACUCAUACAGUGCUGCUCUCAGCUUUCUGCCUGCAGCAAAGGGAACAAGUGCUUUAUAAAUCCCUGCUUUGGUCCCAGCUUCUUCAAGUGACCUUUGUGUGUCUGCUUACUUUUGGUAAAAUGGAGGCAGUAAUGUCCAAUUGCUUUUUAGAAUCACAGAAUAUCCCGAAUUGAGAGGAACCCAUAAGGAUCAUUAAGUCCAACUCCUAGCCAGUCUCUUUGAGGAAACCAGAGUUUUCUCGUGUGUGAGAGUGCAAGAGAAAGCAAACCCACAUGGGAAGGAGCUACGCUUUGAGGAACAUCCUGAUUGCAGAAGGACGCAAGGCUCUGUUAAAGCCCAGGGCCAGGUUAGAAGCUCACGGUGUGAAACUGCCUUAAUGCAGAUAAUCAUGGAUGAAAAGGCAGCAUAGGGUGGGAAGCAGCCUGACAAGAAGGCUGUAAUGAUGUAACGGUAAUAUGACUGGGCCAGAAGGAAGUGGUAUUAUUGGGCUAAAUUCUUUCUACUUUGAAGAGGCCAAAGCCACUUCUCACAUGAUUGGAUUCCACCUCCAGGGUCUUGAAUUUGCCAGACAGCAAACACACCAAAGGGACCUGGCUUUGCCUGUUGGACGCACAGCACCCACCAAUGAGUGGGUGACAAACUGCACGUUUCCAGGGCUGUGGUUUUCUGGGCAUCUGCAGCUGCCCGUCACUCUUGCAAACUGUCGCCGUUGAUUUUGCAGAACGUCAUCCGUCGUGUUUCCUCACGCUCCUUGGAAUGCACUAAAUAACCAAAAGAGCAGCUGACAAAAUAAAUGAGCAAAGUGGGGUUUUUUGUUGUUGGGUUUUUUUGUUUUUUGUUUUUUUCUUUUUUCAGAGACAUUGCACAAAGGGCAGGAUGGGCUGUUUGGGACGUGCCACUUCUGCCCAUUUCAAACGCAGACUUCAUCAGGGCAGCUGGCAGAAGGGAUGGCUCCAGUCCUUCGUGCUCACAGACGGUUUGUUCCGGACCUGGCUCUGGCUGAACCCUGGUGAACUUCCCCCGCAUCCCCUUCCCCGCCGGAGAGCUUGCAGCCAUGAACUUCCCGUGCCUGACCCAAGCAUCUCCGAGAGGUGUGAUCUGAGCUGCAGCCGGAGGAAGGAGAUGGUCGACCCGCCCCUGGCUCCCGCUCAGCCUCCCUAAUCAGCGCAGGAAUGUCUCUGGAUGUGAGUGCUCCCGGCUGAACUGCUCUGUGCACCACUUGGCAUGGGCCAUGCAGCAGACAUAUAUUUCAGUGGAGGUGGCAAAGAGUAAGGGGGAAAUGUGGAAUGAUGCAGGAGCUGUAUAAUGGAAUGGAACAAAAUUUCUGGUACAUACGUAUGUUUAUAUAUAACAUCAUGCAGAAAGACCCUAUGCAAGGAGUAUGGAAGAGAGGAUGGAUCUUGCUGCUCAUGCCCCAGACCAGCCUCCUCCUUGUUGCAGACUGUAAUAAGCCAUCGCUGGAGGAUGGUAGAGAGGUUCUUUGAAAAUCUCUCCAAGAUGCUUCCAAUAAAAGAAUUGUGAAACUAUUCCCAUCGGUGGCCUGUCCUCUACCCACAACAGUGACAGAGAAGACUGUUUGAUUUCCAUCAGCAGAAUAAUAUGAGUGUGGACGCCACUGCCACAAAUUUAAGAAGGAUCUCCAGUUGCUGCUUGCCAAAGAAACAGUGCAUGGUCUGGGGGUUUUCAGCCCUCAAGUGGAGAUGCCGCUGGUGUGAUGACAGCUUGAGCAGCAUGAAGCUCCAGAAGAGCUUGAACAGAAAGGGCUGUGUCUGCAAAGAGGUGGGUCAGCUGUGUCUCUGGAGAGCUGCAUGCAGAGCCAGACCCGACCUCUUCUCAGUGAGGUGGAAGCAAAUGUUGGUGCUUUGGGUCUGUCCACAUCUACAAGCAUGCGUGAGGUCCCUUGCUGUGGUUCAGCUGAUGUGGGGCAUCUUGCUCAACAGUUCGAGAGUCUCAGCUUGCAAAUAUUGAAGGAGAUAAAUGGUUAAAAGAAAACUAAAACAACCAUACCCAAAAUAAACAAACCAACCCCAAACAAACAAAUGAAACCUCAAAACAAACAAAGAACUCAAAACAAACAACCAAAACCUUCCCUACCCCCUCUCCCCCCCAAAAAAAUGAAGGAAGGAACAAGGAACCCUGGUGAUCACAGCAGGAUCUGCAAGGCUCACACUGGAGAGGACAGUGAUCUGUCCAAUUGCUACAGCAGUACAACAGGG
ensembl:lncRNA